rnacentral:rRNA from 1 species
GACGAACGCUGGCGGCGUGCUUAACACAUGCAAGUCGAACGGAAAGGCCCUGCUUUUGUGGGGUGCUCGAGUGGCGAACGGGUGAGUAACACGUGAGUAACCUGCCCUUGACUUUGGGAUAACUUCAGGAAACUGGGGCUAAUACCGGAUAGGAGCUCCUGCUGCAUGGUGGGGGUUGGAAAGUUUCGGCGGUUGGGGAUGGACUCGCGGCUUAUCAGCUUGUUGGUGGGGUAGUGGCUUACCAAGGCUUUGACGGGUAGCCGGCCUGAGAGGGUGACCGGCCACAUUGGGACUGAGAGACGGCCCAGACUCCUACGGGGGGCAGCAGUGGGGAAUAUGGCACAAUGGGCGGAAGCCUGAUGCAGCAACGCCGCGUGCGGGAUGACGGCCUUCGGGUUGUAAACCGCUUUCGCCUGUGACGAAGCGUGAGUGAAGGUAAUGGGGAAAGAAGCACCGGCUAACUACGU